CCCUUAAUCAAUAUUCAAUGUCCAUUAAUUCAAAAAGUCAUGGCGACCUUAGACGAAACUAUGCAAAUGAAACCGAAACCAGUGCCGAAACGUUUCGUCAAAAACCAAAUCCCAGAAACUAUCCUCAACGACUCAUCUCUCAAUGCUGGCAUCUCCCUCUUGCCCUCCAACUACAACUUGGAAGUCCACAAGUGUGUCUGGCGCAUCCGCUCCACCAGAGCCAAGCGUCUCGCUCUCCAGCUCCCUGAGGGCCUGCUUUUGUAUUCGCUUAUUCUUUCGGAUAUAUUCACCGCCUUCGCCGGCGUUACCCACUAUUUCGUCCUCGGCGACGUCACUUAUGGCGCCUGUUGUGUGGACGACCUCUCCGCCUUGGCGUUAGGUGCUGAUCUUCUAAUUCACUAUGGCCAUAGCUGCUUGGUCCCCAUCGAUGCUACGAAAGUUCCUUGCCUUUACGUUUUUGUUGACAUUAAAAUCGAUGUUGAGCGCCUGAUUAGCACCAUCAAACUCAAUUUAAAUGAUAAAAAAAGCAUUGUUCUCGCGGGUACUAUUCAGUUCGCAUCUGCGAUUCGAGAAGCAAAGCCUGAGUUGGAAAAGCUGGGCCUUUCGGUUUUGAUCCCUCAAUCGAAACCCUUAUCGGCCGGUGAAGUUUUGGGUUGCACGGCACCCAGAAUACCAUCGAAAUCUGUAAUUGGUAGUUUCAGUGACAUGGUUGUGGUAUUUGUGGCGGAUGGGAGGUUCCAUUUGGAGGCGUUUAUGAUGGCUAAUCCUGAGAUUAGUGCAUUUAGGAAUGACCCAUAUCUGGGGAAGCUGUUUCUUGAGGAAUAUGAUCAUCAAGGAAUGAAGGAGACGAGGGAGAGGGCAAUAGAGAGGGCAAGAGAAGCCAAGAGUUGGGGGAUUGUGUUGGGCACAUUGGCAAGGCAAGGCAAUCCGAGGAUUUUAGAUAGGUUGGAGAAGAAGAUGAGAGAAAAACAUUUUUCUUAUACCGUUGUUUUGAUGUCAGAGAUUAGUCCUACUAGGAUUGCCUUAUUUGAGCAAUCUGUGGAUGCUUGGAUUCAGAUUGCAUAUCCUCGGCUCUCUAUUGAUUGGGGAGAGGCAUUUGAGAAGCCUCUUUUGACACCUUUUGAAGCAGUUUACCAGGUUGGUGGGAGAAGGAUAAGAGUGUAGUGGCAAACUCAGGGUGUUGCAAUGGUCUUGGAUGUGGGCACAGCAAUGGAUUGUGUUCUGGAUGUGGCAAUGAAGCUGCAAAGGAUGUAUAGGGUGUAGGUUAUUCUUUUGCUGGUGAUUAUCCCAUGGAUUACUAUGCUCAGGAUAGUGGGGAGUGGAAUUCCUCUUAUUUGAAGAAAGCAACUCGCCCUAUAAGAAGAAAUGUGGUGUCCUCUACCAGUGAUGGUGCUGCUUUGUAGCAUCACUACCUCUUAAGGAUUGUAUUACAUGUGCUUUGUAGCAUCAUUAGCCCAUAAAGAUUUUAUUACAAGUGGUGUGUGCAUAUGCCCAUCAAUAAUUCGCAAGAUUUCUUCUGAAUCACAAUGAAGACCAGGAAUUGAAUUGGACAUCUGAAUCACUUCCAACAGAAUCCCUGAAUUGUUUCUUGUAUUUUCUCUUAAUCAAUUAUUUAUGAAAAUAUCUCCUCAUCGGUUGCGGUAGACAAAUUGAAUAUGGAAAGCUUUUUCAUGUAAUAUGAGAAGCUAUCGAGAAGAUGAGGCGAGUGUAUCUACUCCCAGGAAGCUACUGGCAUCAAGCCACACAGAAUCAAAAGCACAUAUCCAAUGGCGGUAAAAUUUGCAGUGUGUAAAAUGUCCCCAGCAUCUGCAUGUGGUGUUCAGCUGAUCCUAUCUCCUCUAAGCUAGCUUCAGCACAUCAUGUUUCUCAAGUUAUUCUCAGAUGGAUGCGCCAGCUACAAGGGAGAGAGAAUUUACUAUGAGGGCAGACUUCACAGCAGGUAGUGGCAAAAUAAUGUUGGCUGGUAUGGCCAAAAAGACAGAGCUGUAUGAUCCCUUCCCUAAGCACUUCCCACGAACCUAGUCCAUAAGGAGCGAUAUAUUGGAUGAGUGAGAAUAGCCGAGUAGAAUAGGUCAAUACAGUAUAUAUAAGUAGUAUUUAUCAUCCUUUUCCUAUCAGGAUUAAGUACAUAUAAUCCUUUUCCUUUUGGGAUUUACUUAAAAAUUCACAGAGGCGUUUUUCUAAACUGCCCUUUGAGAGUUGGUGUUUGAUUGAACAUCGUUCUUUUUUUGCGUUUCAUAAAUUCGCUGCUAACUGAGGCAAUUACAAGCGCAUAACUAUUCAAUGCCAAUCGUUUGGGGUUAGGGUUUGCAAAUCUAUUUCAUGAAUUUCAAAAACUCCCAAUUUUAUCCAAAAUUUCCAAAGGAAAUGGCGCUGAGGAAGUUCUACGGCGAGAUAAAGGCGUUGACAGUGAAGGAAGUGCCCAACUAGGUAAAGCCGAUGCUAUCAAUCGAUUACGUGAAGAAAUAGGUGCAGAAAGCUUUGGACAAUUACCACGCCAAUUACAUCAAGACCAGCUCCAUUGAUCCACUCUACCAUGAUGGCGGCAUGAUCUUUUCCAACCUUGUUGCUCUUCUGGGGGAGCACCGCCACUUCGAGCACCAGCAACACUAAGGAACAUGGCCACUGAUUCGUUGACUCAUCAAUUCAUCAUUUGUCAGUAACUUCCUCUUGGAGCUUGGGUGCAUCAGAUGUUAGAACAGCAGAUGCCCUCAUCUGAUAUUCCAUCCAAAAUUCUUUGUCAAGUGAUCAAAAUUGAUCUUCAGCGAAGAGAGUUUACUGGCAGCAAUCCUGAACUCCUGAAACCUGCAGAAAGAUGCACAGUGAAUUCAUUUUAGAAAACGCUUACUGCUUCGGAUGUAAGCAAGCAUUGUACUUUAAAUAUUUAUCAAAAGCAUGCAUAGGAAUGUCUACCAGCAUUGGUCAGUAUCUAAAAUAAAUUAUUGUUUCCUUCCCUGCUGUGUAUUGUGAUGUGAUUACUUCUCUCUCAUUGAUGGUUAUGAUUUUCCUCUUUGUUCAGGAUAUGCAGCAACAGACACCUUGUCAACAAUUGAUUCCAAAAGAUCUGCAUGGCAACGAGUGGCAUUUCCAACAUGUUAAUCAGAGUAAGCAAUAGUUACAUUGCUUUUUCAUGAUGCGAUACUGAAUAAUUGUCUAGAGAUGGCAAUUAAUUAACUACAUUGGCUGAAAUAUGCUUUCUAUUAUUCUGUUCUACUGUAUAUGAUUGUUAAUUGAGAAUUUAUGGAAAUUGUGACAUUUUUUUCUGUUAUAUCUAUGCAUUUGUAUAUGUUUAGACUUGCAACUAAAAACCUUACAUGUUUCUGUUCUAUAGGGUGUAAAUAUCAACUUGAACACCCAAUUGCAGAAAGUCGGAAGAAGGAAAGAACAAUUUUAAUAAUAUUUUUAGAGGUUAAUUAGUUCCCUUUUUUUUUUCCUUGCAUUACAAAGACUCCAAAUUUUCUUUCCUAUUCAAGAAUUGUUGUUUAUGAGUUGUGCUUAGAAAUGAUGAAUAUUAUUAUACAAUAACUUUAAUUUUUUGAGUUGUA